rnacentral:rRNA from 1 species
AACGAACGCUGGCGGCAGGCCUAACACAUGCAAGUCGAGCGAGACCUUCGGGUCUAGCGGCGGACGGGUGCGUAACGCGUGGGAACGUGCCCUUUUCUGCGGAAUAGCCUCGGGAAACUGAGCGUAAUACCGCAUACGCCCUUUGGGGGAAAGAUUUAUCGGAAAAGGAUCGGCCCGCGUUGGAUUAGGUAGUUGGUGGGGUAAUGGCCUACCAAGCCUACGAUCCAUAGCUGGUUUGAGAGGAUGAUCAGCCACACUGGGACUGAGACACGGCCCAGACUCCUACGGGAGGCAGCAGUGGGGAAUCUUAGACAAUGGGGGCAACCCUGAUCUAGCCAUGCCGCGUGAGUGAUGAAGGCCUUAGGGUUGUAAAGCUCUUUCAGCUGGGAAGAUAAUGACGGUACCAGCAGAAGAAGCCCCGGCUAACUCCGUG